UACGGGGGGGGCAAGCGUUGUUCGGAAUUACUGGGCGUAAAGGGCUCGUAGGCGGCCAACUAAGUCAUGCGUGAAAUCCCUCGGCUUAACCGGGGAACUGCGUCUGAUACUGGAUGGCUUGAGUUCGGGAGAGGGAUGCGGAAUUCCAGGUGUAGCGGUGAAAUGCGUAGAUAUCUGGAGGAACACCUAUUGCGAAGGCAGCUCGCUGGGACGUAACUGACGCUGAGACGCGAAAGCGUGGGGAGCAAACAGG
rnacentral:rRNA from 1 species